UCUCUCUCUCAAGGGCUUCUUGCUGCGUGACCCCCCAAAUUAAAAUUUCUUCACAUUGAGUUCGUAGCAGCAAGCAGACAGAAAGGCCUAGAGAGAAAGAGUACACAAGCUUCCUCUUUUCUUAAUUAAAAGGCCUAAAAUAUGAGCAUGCAGUUUCUGAACCGGUACCAUUCAUUGCUCAAUCCCCUCAAGGACUUCAGAUUUUGCUUCAAGCUUGUGGCAAAAGCCUAGCUUUAGUCUGGAGUUCAUUUGGGGAGUGAAUGAUGCUUGAUACCUUCGGAUCCCUCCAUCUCACCCUCUCAAUUACUUAAUUCAUUAAUUCGUUCCCGGACGGUCGCUCCUCCUUCCUAGCAAUUAGUUUUCCAAAUCCUUCAAAGCUUUUUCCAUUAUGCAAUAACGUUUGGUAACGUAUCUUCUUUUCCUUGCAACAUCUCUCAUUUCCUUUUCAGAAAUUACUUUUCUAUGUAUCAAACAUGCUAUAUAUAAGAGCCAUGAGUGUGGUCAUCAUCGUCCAGUCAAUGCUUCUGUGUUACUGCAGGUGCAUGUAUUUUCCCUAUUUUGGUAAAGUGAAGUGGGUAGGCCCUUGUGGCCCUAACUGGAAAAUCCCUGCAAAUAUCUUCAAGGACCAUACGAAUUUGUGAAUGGAUGGUCAACACAAGGAUUUCAACAACGAGGGUGAGAUUGAGAAGGGGAACAGCUUAUGACGCCUGCCAUGUGAAUGACGUGACCCCCCAUAGAUCUUAGUACAUGCUUAAGCUUUCUUCUCAACUCAAACUCAAACCUUAUUUUUGAAACAAGGAAACACGUGGGAUAUCUAGCUUGUACUCUCUUCUAUUACCUGAACUGGCAAUCCUCCUGGUGGCGACUUGGCACAUGCGUAUGUAGUCCUCUCACCCUCACACUCAGCCCACUUGGUAAUUUUCAAACCUGCAUUGUAUCACGCCAAGUUCUCUUUUUACUUUAUUUUUCUGUGGACCUGCCGAGGCACUAUAUAUAAGAAUUUGGCUCAGCAUGAUACACACACACACACACACAUAUAUGCCCUCGUUGAUUAACUGUGUUGUUGGUAUUAAACGAAUAAUAGCCAGUCCCACUUACACAUGCAUAUGCCCUAUACAUGGUUCACUUAACUCUUCCAAGUUCAGUCAACUAUCAUCCGUGCAUGUCUAUGCUUUGUCUAGUACCGAUUCCUUGUUCCUUUAUAGAUCAUUCUACAAUUAGUACUUUUGAGGGCUUCAAUUUCAUUCCACUCUGCUUCAACCACUAAUCAGCAUCUUUAGUUCCUAGAUAGCAGCUGAUCAAUGUCUGGUUCUUUCGUUUUCAUGCUCUCCAUUCACAGUUGUCAUAUAUAAGGUUGAAAAAAACAUGCAACUAAUUUUUAACGCAAAACAGAAUUUAUUUUUUUUUAAAUAGUUUACAGACAGUUCCAUCCAGCGGCAUGCAGCAAACUAAAGUGAUUAAAUGAAGCUAUUCUUCCAAGUUCCAACCUUGCUAUUACUGGCAACAGACUUUGAGCAAAGCUCAUCGUUGUACAACGGCGUUCGAUUUCGGAUCUAAGCACUUUCGCCUGUUUCAAAGACAAAUUGAACCCAAAAGGGAAAACAUCAGAUCACAUACAUACAAUCUCAUAUAUAUGUUUAUAUUAUAUGAGGGCCAAGACAAGUCAAGACGAGGAAAACACAGAGAUGAAAAGAGUACUUAAAAACGUACUUGAUCUUCCGUGAUUUUGACAGCAAAUCCAUCAACAAUGACCAACGAAGAUGUCUUGGUGUAGCUUCCAGGCUCAAGGGUUCUGGCUAACAGUUCAUCGUGCUUCUUACUGAGAUAGACGUCAAGUUCAUGUGAUCCACUCUUGGUUCUAGUUACAUCAAGUGGUUACACACAAAUAAACACGCAGAACACAACAAGAUGAGUGCGAUGAAAAUGGUGGAAGGGUAAUUAAGGCAAAUGCAAUAUAAAGGACAGUUCAAACUGACCGAUCCGCUCGAAGACGCUCGUAUUGGGGAUCAUAGUUCAUGAACACGAAGUAUGACUCCACUUCUUUGCUUCCCAUUUGGAUUCUGUCUCCUUAUCUCCUGCUGUUUCCUUUAUUUUCAAUGUGUUGAGCAUAUGAGCAUGUCCACUGAGUAGGGUGUACUUAGUAUUUAUAGACAACUUAGACCGCAAUGAGUCAAAGAUGGGUCCUCUAAUUCAAAUUUUA